rnacentral:rRNA from 1 species
AUACGAAGGUCCCGAGCGUUAUUCGGAAUCACUGGGCGUAAAGGACGCGUAGGCGGGUUUGUAAGUCAGGUGUGAAAUCCUACAGCUCAACUGUAGAACUGCACUUGAAACUACAGACCUAGAGUAUGGAAGGGGCAGAUGGAAUUAGCGGUGUAGGGGUAAAAUCCGUAGAUAUCACUAGGAAUACCGAAAGCGAAGGCGAUCUGCUGGGACAUUACUGACGCUGAGGCGUGAAAGCGUGGGGAGCAAACAGGAUUAGAAACCCCAGUAGUCC